AAAGGCGGGUUAGGAAAUUGUAUACUUUCCUUUUCCCUCUCUUCCCGUUCUAUUCUCUAGACCUAAACCCAAAGCUCUCAUUUUUUUCCUCUAAUCUAAAAACCCUAUCUCUAAGCCGGUCUCCUCACUCACUCUUCCCCGAUCCCUCUCCUUCUCUCUCUCUCUCCUGCUCCCUCAACUACGACGGCGAGGGGAUAGACGAGGCUUCAACCACGGUGGAGGUCGACGGGGCUGACAGAGGCUCAGCGGGACUGCCGGAGGCUCGACGACGUGGACUCGGAGACUCGUUGGUGCAGAAAAAAGAAUUGGAAGCCGAGCUGGUGAAUGUAACAGGGGCAGCUAGGCCAUGUCGCAAAAUAAGGUCUGAGCAAGACAAGGAGCUAGAAAAGGAGGUUGUAUCUAAAGUUGUGGGUGCUGGCCCAUCUGAGGAAUCUAUAUCUGAUGCUCCUCAGGAAAUAGAUGAGUAUGAGCUCGUUGAUCCUGUUCAUAUAUUGGCUCCUUUGGAGAAGUCUGGAUUUUGGGAUGGAGUGAAAGCAACCAAGUGGUCAGAAUGGAAAUAGGCUGUUGCAGAGCUAACCAAGCUUGCUUCAACAAAAAGAAUAGCACCCGGUGAUUUCUCAGAAAUCUGUCGGACACUAAAAAAGCUCAUAACAGAUGUUAAUAUCGCUGUAGCAGUCGAGGCAAUUCAAGCUAUUGGCAAUCUUGCUCGGGGUUUAAGAACUAAUUUCUCUGCAAGUUCACGCUUCCUAUUGCCAGUUUUGCUGGAAAAAUUGAAAGAGAAAAAACCUGCCUCUACUGAGGCACUAAAUCAAAGUCUUCAGGCAAUGCAUACAGCUGGGUGCUUAAGUCUAGCUGACAUUGUGG